rfam:Gasterosteus aculeatus cont1.000670, whole genome shotgun sequence.
GGGCUAGUGGCGCAAUGGAUAACGCGUCUGACUACGAAUCAGGAGAUUCCAGGGUCGACUCCUGGCUAGCUCG